UACGUAGGGUGCAAGCGUUGUCCGGAAUUAUUGGGCGUAAAGGGCUCGUAGGCGGUUUGUCGCGUCGGGUGUGAAAUCCACUGGCUUAACUGGGGGCUUGCUUUCGAUACGGGCAGACUGGAGGUAUGCAGGGGAGAGCGGAAUUCCUGGUGUAGCGGUGAAAUGCGCAGAUAUCAGGAGGAACACCGGUGGCGAAGGCGGUUCUCUGGGAAUAUCCUGACGCUGAGGAGCGAAAGUGUGGGGAGCGAACAGG
rnacentral:rRNA from 1 species